GACGAACGCUGGCGGCGUGCUUAACACAUGCAAGUCGAACGGUGAAGCGCUUGCCUUUUUGGUGGGUGUGGAUGAGUGGCGAACGGGUGAGUAACACGUGAGUAACCUGCCCUCUUCUUCUGGAUAACCUCAUGAAAGUGGGGCUAAUACGGGGUAUUCCGGGUCUGUCGCAUGGCGGGUUUGGGAAAGAUUGCGCCUUUGGGUGUUUUCGGUGGGGGAUGGGCUCGCGGCCUAUCAGCUUGUUGGUGGGGUGAUGGCCUACCAAGGCGGUGACGGGUAGCCGGCCUGAGAGGGUGGACGGCCAGACUGGGACUGAGACACGGCCCAGACUCCUGCGGGAGGCAGCAGUGGGGAAUAUUGCACAAUGGGCGCAAGCCUGAUGCAGCGACGCCGCGUGAGGGAUGGAGGCCUUCGGGUUGUGAACCUCUUUCGCCAGUGAAGCAGGCCUGCUCCUGUGUGGGUGGGUUGACGGUAGCUGGAUAAGAAGCGCCGGCUAACUACGUG
rnacentral:rRNA from 1 species